GCAGCAGUGGCCGAGUGGUUAAGGCGAUUGACUCGAAAUCAAUUGGGCUCUGCCCGCAUAGGUUCGAAUCCUAUCUGCUGCG
rnacentral:tRNA from 1 species